rnacentral:rRNA from 1 species
AUCUCUGUAGAGUCUGCAUAUCAAUAAGCGGAGGAAAAGAAACUAACUAGGAUUCCCUCAGUAACGGCGAGUGAAGCGGGAAGAGCUCAAAUUUGAAAUCUUCAAGGUUUUACCUUGACGAAUUGUAGUUUAAAGAAGUGUUUUCUGUUGGAGUUUUGGUAAAAGUUCUUUGGAAUAGGACAUCAUAGAGGGUGAGAAUCCCGUAUUUGACCAGUUAUUUCCAGCUUUGUGAUACACUUUCAAAGAGUCGGAUUGUUUGGGAAUGCAGUCCAAAAUGGGUGGUAAAUCUCAUCUAAAGCUAAAUAUUGGCGAGAGACCGAUAGCGAACAAGUACCGUGAGGGAAAGAUGAAAAGAACUUUGAAAAGAGAGUUAAACAGUACGUGAAAUUGUCAAAAGGGAAGCGUUUGACACCAGUGUUGUUUUCUCGAAAAUCAAUUAAAAAAGGCAGGAUUUUGUGUUGUAUUGACUUUAUCAGCUUUCUGCACUCUUUUCUUGUCUUUUUUAAUGCACCUUUCGUUUAACAAGUCAACAUCAAUUUCUUUUGUUGUAAAAGGGUCAUUGGAAGGUGGCUUUCUUUUCGGAGAAAGUGUUUAUAGCCUUUGGCCUCUGCAAUCGGAGAGAUUGAGGUCUGCAGCGUAGAUCCUUCGGGGUUAGAUACAUUUGUGCUAAGUUAUAGCCUUUCAUAGACAACUUGUUGACUAUGAUCAGUCAUGUAGCUUACUCGCUUAUGCUAUUUUACCUACGCUUAGGAUGUUGACGAUCAGCUGAGCGCG